rnacentral:rRNA from 1 species
GACGUAGGGCGCAAGCGUUGUCCGGAUUUAUUGGGCGUAAAGAGCUCGUAGGCGGCCUGUCGCGUCGACUGUGAAAACCCGCAGCUUAACUGCGGGACUGCAGUCGAUACGGGCAGGCUAGAGUUCGGUAGGGGAGACUGGAAUUCCUGGUGUAGCGGUGAAAUGCGCAGAUAUCAGGAGGAACACCGGUGGCGAAGGCGGGUCUCUGGGCCGAUACUGACGCUGAGGAGCGAAAGCGUGGGGAGCGAACAGG